UGAAUACGAGACGCUAAGGCGUCGAAGUAGUGUAUGUCAUACUUCCAAGAAAAGCUUGCACUGUCAUAGAUAAAAAACGCCUGUACCAUAACCGACACAGGUGGGUAGGUAGAGUAUACUAAGGGGCGCGAGAUAACUCUCUCUAAGGAACUCGGCAAAAUAACUCCGUAACUUCGGGAGAAGGAGUGCCUUAUUUUUAAGGCUGCAAUAACAAGAUCCAAGCAACUGUUUAUCAAAAACACAGGUCUCCGCUAAGUCGUAAGACGAUAUAUGGGGGCUGACGCCUGCCCAGUGCCAGAAGGUUAAAGAAGUUGGUUAGCUUUUGCGAAGCUGAUAACUGAAGCCCUGGUGAACGGCGGCCGUAACGAUAACGGUCCUAAGGUAGCGAAAUUCCUUGUCGGGUAAGUUCCGACCCGCACGAAAGGCGUAAUGAUUUGGAUACUGUCUCGGAGAGGGGCUCGGUGAAAUAGACUUGUCUGUGAAGAUGCAGACUACCUGCACCAGGACAGAAAGACCCUAUGAAGCUUUACUGUAACUUGAAAUUGAAAUUGGACUUUAUUCGCGCAGCAUAGGUGGGAGGCGUUGAUUAUAAUCUCGUGGGAUUAUUGGAGCCAUCAGUGAGAUACCACUCUUGUAAUGUUAGAUUUCUAACUUUGAAUCAUUAUCUGGUCAAAGAACAGUUUCAGGCGGGCAGUUUGACUGGGGCGGUCGCCUCCUAAACGGUAACGGAGGCGUACAAAGGUUUCCUCUGAACGGUUAGAAAUCGUAUCUAGAGUGUAAAGGCAUAAGGAAGCUUGACUGUGAGACCUACAAGUCGAGCAGGGACGAAAGUCGGUCUUAGUGAUCUGACGGUACUGAGUGGAAAGGCCGUCACUCAACGGAUAAAGUUACUCUAGGGAUAACAGGCUGAUCUCCCCCAAGAGUUCACAUCGACGGGGAGGUUUGGCACCUCGAUGUCGGCUCAUCGCAUCCUGGGGCGGUAGUACGUCCCAAGGGUUGGGCUGUUCGCCCAUGAAAGCGGUACGCGAGCUGGGUUCAGAACGUCGUGAGACAGUUCGGUCCAUAUCCGGUGUAGGCGUUAGAAUAUUGAGAGGAGCCUUCUUUAGUACGAGAGGACCGAGAAGGACAUACCUCUGGUGUACCAGUUAUCGUGCCAACGGUAAACGCUGGGUAGCUAUGUAUGGAGUGGAUAACCGCUGAAAGCAUCUAAGUGGGAAGCCCACCUCAAGAUAAGUAUUCUC
rnacentral:rRNA from 1 species